rnacentral:rRNA from 1 species
CCUACGGGAGGCAGCAGUGGGGAAUAUUGGACAAUGGGCGCAAGCCUGAUCCAGCCAUGCCGCGUGAGUGAUGAAGGCCCUAGGGUUGUAAAGCUCUUUUGUGCGGGAAGAUAAUGACGGUACCGCAAGAAUAAGCCCCGGCUAACUUCGUGCCAGCAGCCGCGGUAAUACGAAGGGGGCUAGCGUUGCUCGGAAUCACUGGGCGUAAAGGGUGCGUAGGCGGGUUUCUAAGUCAGAGGUGAAAUCCUGGAGCUCAACUCCAGAACUGCCUUUGAUACUGGAAGUCUUGAGUAUGGGAGAGGUGAGUGGAACUGCGAGUGUAGAGGUGAAAUUCGUAGAUAUUCGCAAGAACACCAGUGGCGAAGGCGGCUCACUGGCCCAUUACUGACGCUGAGGCACGAAAGCGUGGGGAGCAAACAGGAUUAGAUACCCUGGUAGUCCACGACGUAACGAUANANAGCACGCGUAGUGGUUACGUCACUAGUGCGCAGCUACGUACUUAACGUACGACUUCCGUCCGUCGGGGUAGGUACGGUCGGCGAAGUAAGUUAAACGUUAACGUUAAAGUUAAGUAAGUUAGUUACGGUCGUUGAGACGCGACGACGACGACGACGGAGGGAGGAGG